rnacentral:rRNA from 1 species
UACGUAGGGGGCAAGCGUUGUCCGGAAUCAUUGGGCGUAAAGAGCGCGUAGGCGGUCCGGUAAGUCCGCUGUGAAAGUCAAGGGCUCAACCCUUGAAUGCCGGUGGAUACUGUCGGGCUAGAGUCCGGAAGAGGCGAAUGGAAUUCCCGGUGUAGCGGUGAAAUGCGCAGAUAUCGGGAAGAACACCCGUGGCGAAGGCGGUUCUCUGGGACGGUACUGACGCUGAGACGCGAAAGCGUGGGGAGCGAACAGG